rnacentral:rRNA from 1 species
CCACUUUUAUUGGGCUUAAAGCGUUCGUAGCUGGGUUGUUAAGUCUCUUGGGAAAUCUGGCGGCUUAACCGUCAGGCGUCUAAGGGAUACUGGCAAUCUUGGAACCGGGAGAGGUGAGGGGUACUUCGGGGGUAGGAGUGAAAUCCUGUAA